AAAAAUCUGGAGCCUUAACGCUAACAUGCGCUGGGCUCUAUUUUCCACCGCCGCUGCCACCGCCACCGUCGAUUCGUCGAUCUAGGGUUUCUCUCUUGGUGGGUUUCGGAAAUUUUCUGAUCCAAUUUUAUAAGAACAGAGAAAUCUCUUAGUUCUGGAAAAAUGGGUCUUUUAAGUGCUUUUGCAGCUGGGUUUGUGGUUAUAUUGAUGGUCUUUGAAGGGAUGGCGUCGCCGGAGACUGCUAAUGUGUCGGUUCGCUCAGUUUGUCCAUUGAAAUCUGUUAAAGAUUCGAUUUUUAUGGGGUUUCAAGAUUUGACUUGUCCAUUAGAUGGGAUCCAAUCUUCUUAUGUGGCUGAAGUUAUUCAGGGAGAUGAGCUGUCAUUGCAGAGGGCACUAAGUAUGAUUCACCGGAAUACACAUGAUUAUGUUGCUUUGCUUUUCUAUGCAUCCUGGUGUCCUUUCUCUAGAAGUUUUAGGCCAAAAUUUUCCAUCAUGUCUUCUUUGUAUCCUUCAAUUCCCCAUUUCGCAAUUGAAGAGUCAGCUGUUAAGCCAAGCACUCUCUCAAAGUAUGGAGUUCAUGGGUUUCCGACUCUCUUCCUUUUAAACUCAACAAUGCGCAUGCGGUAUCAUGGCUCUCGCUCCCUUGAUUCAGUGAUUGAAUUCUAUGGUGGCACUACUGGUUUUCAUAGUGCUUCGGUGGAUGCCACUUCUCUUGGCAAAAUGGGAUGCUCCUCAAAUCUUUUGAAACUGCAUGGAAGUGACCAGGAAAACUGUCCAUUCUCCUGGGCCAGAUCUCCUGAGAACCUUUUUCAGCAAGAGACAUAUUUGGCCUUAGCCACUGCAUUUGUGCUAUUGAAAGUACUUUAUAUGAUAUUUCCAGCUUUACGUAAGAUAGCUCAAAUUGGCUUGGGAGGUUGCAUAUUACAAAUAAGAAUAAGAAGCUUGUGGGAGCUUCCUCUGCUAUACCUGAACCGAGCUGUACAAUUAUGUAAUUCACUGAAGGAGCCAUGCAAAAGAAGCAACUUGCAGGAAGGAGCUAUGAAUGCCAAGGCAUGGGCUUCAAAGUCUUUAGCGUCUGUCUCAUUUGGAGAGUCUAGCGCUAGCCGGGUGGAACCAGUAAGUUCAACUCACUAAUUGCUUUGAUGGCCAUAUCUAUAAUCAUAGUGCUCUUUUAUAAUUGUUUUAGCAACCAUAAUUGGUGCUGGUAUUAUCCGAUUGGCGCAGCACUAUGCAAUAUCAAGCUUUUGAAACGAUAUGCUUCAAUUUUAUGUAAUGUAGAUUAGAAUUUUUUUCUCACCGUCGGAGAAAUAAUGUACCCACAUUGUAUAUAGCUUUAACUAAUAGGCAGAGCUUUUGAAUUCAGAUCUUUGUUUAUUUAAUUAAAUCAAGACACUGUCUAGUUCCUUUUGUAUGCUAAGCUGUCUUGAAUUACAUCUUUUGUG
rnacentral:misc_RNA from 1 species